UUAUUCUUGCAGAUGUAUUGCUUGAGGUUUUCCUCAGGUGUGUACGGUUCCUUUUUCCAUGUUCUAGGUAUGAAAUAUCUUUUCACACAGAUUUUUAUUUUUUGGCUUUAGUAUAUGUAAAGUAAAAGGCCUGGUAUAUGGAUGUUGUACAUAUUUUGAGGAUGAAAAAAAUGCAACAUGUUCUAAAGUUUCUAUAUUAUUUUUCUAUAUACUGUAUAUAUAAUAUAUUCAUGACUGGCCAUCCAACACGCCCGAGUACAAGUUAUAGGAAAAAACCUGCAACAGAGGUGACGCGGAUCUGCGGGUUCCUGAAGCGUGUUAAUCUCCCUCCAGUCAGCUAAGGCGAUGCACUGCAUGUACACACCUAACACGCAGCAUUCAUGGAAAACACCUGAUACCGACUACCGAUAUGACACUACAGCAGCACAGGUACGGGAACCUCCAGACGUUGGCGAGGUCCACUGCGAAGCCGAUGACCGACAGCAGGAAGUCGAUUUUCUUGGCCCAGGUUUCUCGCUCCUCUCCAGACGGAUGAGUCUGGCCGGUCGGUGCAA